rnacentral:rRNA from 1 species
UACGUAGGGCGCAAGCGUUAUCCGGAAUUAUUGGGCGUAAAGAGCUCGUAGGCGGUUUGUCGCGUCUGCCGUGAAAAGUCCGGGGGCUCAACUCCGGAUCUGCGGUGGGGUACGGGCAGACUAGAGUGAUGUAGGGGGAGACUGGAAUUCCUGGUGUAGCGGUGAAAUGCGCAGAUAUCAGGAGGAACACCAAUGGCGAAGGCAGCUCGCUGGGACGGUACUGACGCUGAGGCGCGAAAGCGUGGGGGAGCAAACAGG